rnacentral:rRNA from 1 species
GACGAACGCUGGCGGCGUGCUUAACACAUGCAAGUCGAACGGACAGGCCCUGCUUUUGUGGGGUGCUCGAGUGGCGAACGGGUGAGUAACACGUGAGUAACCUGCCCUUGACUUUGGGAUAACUUCAGGAAACUGGGGCUAAUACCGGAUAGGAGCUCCUGCUGCAUGGGGGGGGUUGGAAAGUUUCGGCGGUUGGGGAUGGACUCGCGGCUUAUCAGCUUGUUGGUGGGGUAGUGGCUUACCAAGGCUUUGACGGGUAGCCGGCCUGAGAGGGUGACCGGCCACAUUGGGACUGAGAUACGGCCCAGACUCCUACGGGAGGCAGCAGUGGGGAAUAUUGCACAAUGGGCGGAAGCCUGAUGCAGCAACGCCGCGUGCGGGAUGACGGCCUUCGGGUUGUAAACCGCUUUCGCCUGUGACGAAGCGUGAGUGACGGUAAUGGGUAAAGAAGCACCGGCUAACUACGUG